GGCUUAUAAACAACAAAUAUUUAUUUCUUACAGUUCUAGGGGCUGGGAAGUCCAAGAUCAAAGUGUCAUCAGAUUUGAUGUCUAAUGAGGGCUGCCUUAUUAGUUCACAGAUGGCCAUCUUCUCACUGUGUCUUCACGUGGCAGAAGGGGAAAGGAGCUCUCUGAAGUCUCUUUUUUUAAGGGCACCAAUCCCAUUCAUGAAGGUUCCACACUCAUGACCUAAUCACAUCCUAAAAGCCCCACUCUAAAUACAAUCACAUUGGGGAUUAGUUUUCAACAUAUGAAUGGGCAGUGGGGUGGAGGGUAGGGGGCACAUGAAGCAGUUAUCCAGUCUAUAGCAGGAGUCUUUACAGUCAUCCAGGCUAUGGAUGGUGGUGGUCUGUUCUCUUGUCACUGCUGAGGAUGUCAUCCUGGGGUUUAUUCUCUGACCCUCCCUGGGCCAGGCGCCUAUGGCUGACAAACCCUUUUCUGAAGGACAUUAUCUUUCUUUGAAGAUUUUAUGUCUUUAUUUAGGUGUACCGUUGCAUCUUGUCUCGGGAUGUUCUGCCCCUUCAAGGGAAUGUGUCAUUCGGGGUUGAGUCAGGAGAGAGAAACCACACCAGUUAUUUGAACAGACAUAAGUCAAUAUAAAGAAUUGUUAACCAGGUAUAAAGUUGUUAAGUAGGUCUCUGGAAAGGAUCAAAAGAACUCUAAGGUCUCAUGGGGGUAGCGACUGCAGAAAGCAUCUACCACCUCUAGGGCUGAAAGAAACAAAGAAAAGACAUUGAAAUUAUUAAGACUUAGAAUCUGGUCUGCAAGUUUUGAAGAAACUUGCAAACUGGACUCAGCUGGUGUUAUAAGAAGACACUGCACCGCUGUUGCCAAGGUGAAUAAGUGAUGCUCAAAACAAUUCCACAAAAAGCAAACAGGAAAGAGCAAAGCCUUUUCCUCUUCUAGACUUGUAGCUCCCUUGAGCACUCCCAUUAGCAGAGACUAAGAGAGCUGCUGGUGAAGCAGAAGUGCAGUUUUUCAGAAUUCCAGCUCCAGCACCACAGACCAGGGUAUGGAAAGGUAGGUUUGGAGCUGAGAGCCAGCAGCUUAAUAACGGGAACAGGGGACAUUAUAUUUCUCUGUUUCUAUCCCGUUUUUACAAAGUGUUUAAUUAUCAGACGUCAGCCUCAUUUCUAAAAUUUGGGGGACUCAUCUCAUUGUCACCUCAAGUGCUUCUCUUAAGUUGCUUUCCGUUUGGUUGUGGGAGCAGACGCAUGUACAAUCAGCUGAUUCUUAGCAACAUGUGAUGCUUUUGGUGAAUGAAGGGCCGGAGGAAGUGGCGGAAUGUGGGGACAUGUGGGGACAGUUCAGCCUGAAUGGUUCUAAUCCUUAGAAGUGGCACAAGGCAUUUGUACUAGGCAUUGAAGCAUGAGUGAUGAGUAGAAUUCCAACUGAGUUGACAAAAGAGUCACUGUAAGGUCCAUUUUACAGAAGAAGAAACUGAGGCCCAGAGAGUUCGUUUCUGGAGUCACAAAGAACCACGUCCGUCCAUCCAACUGCUUAGCCUGGAGUCCUAAACCAUUGCCCUGUGACCAUAGCUUGCAAUUUCUUCAGGUUUAUCAUCCUAUAAAACUGGAAUAAUGAUAUUUGCCUUUUGGGGUAGUGGUGAGGGUUAACUGGUGUCAUAUAUUAAAAACAUAAACCCAUUUUGGAAGACAGAUGCUGGGCACAUUUCCACGCCCACUCACCAGCCUUGCUACUUGUAGUUCAAAUUCGUGCCUCAGCAAAGUUAUAAAUCAGUCCAUGUCAUAGAUCUGAAGGUGGGAGGGGUGGUGGCGUUCUUACAUAGUUGAAACCAAGAACAUAAAAUCCUUGAAUGUCAUUAUCUCAGUGAAUGCUAAUAAUAAGGAUAAUGAUAAUAAUGGUAAUAUGCUUCCACUUAAUGAAUACCUACUAUGUAUGUGCCAGGUAUUUUACAUAUAUUAUAUCACUUUUGUCUAUUCGGCAAAUAGGUAUUUAGUGUGCAACACAUGCCUGGCAUUAUGUUAACGCUAACUGCCAUAAUGAAACUGAGUGUAGGUCUUAUCAUUCCUGUUUAACAGAUGAUGAGGUUGAGACUCACCCCUCUGGCCUCUUUUCUCACUUGUACAACAGGGACAAUAAUAAUCCUACCUGCAGGAUGCAUCAGGGAAUACAGUUCAUAUAGCAUAUUGCCUGGGACAUAGCAGAUACUCAAUGUAUGCUUGUUACUUAAUAGAUUAGCACUACUAUUUCUGCUAGUGCAACCACUGCUCAGGGUCACAGAGCUAGCAAAUGGCCUAUCUGACUCCACAGCCUCUGCUCUGUCCCCUCUGUCAUGCUCUUUAUGCUACGUCAGUCUUUCUACUAUGGCUGCCUUCCCACAAAGGCAGGCCUGGCUUUACUGUAAAUUCUGUUGGAAGAAAAGGAGGAGCAGCCAGAGGGCACCAAGUCACAGCAGAAACAGCUGUUUUGAAACAGAGGCAGGUCCCAGGAGUAGCUAUUAUCAUUUUUUUCUCAUAAAAGUGAUCUACGGAUGAUUGGGUCAAGAUGGCAGAUGGGACACUUAAUGGCAGCCUCGCCCCACCCCUAAAUAUCUAGAAAUAACAGAAAUGUGUGUGUGUGUGUGUGUGUGUGUGUGUAUGUGUGUUCCAAAACCAUAUGGAAAAUCAGGAAGGCAUAUGUCUCCAGUGGUUUAGAAACUACAAAAGAUGAGAUUAAAGAGAAGUGAAAAAAGCCUCAAACACACCAAGGCAGUAACUAAUGGGUGUCAUUUCAAGGGUGGUACAUACCUAGAGCAAAGAGGUUGGGGACAUAGGGGAUUGAUUUGGAGCAGUGCAAUAGAAGCCGUCAGGCAUGGUGACCAGCUCCCUCCCAUCCACCCUGCUUUGGCUAAAUAGUAAGUUACAUAAGUGUCUCCCCGCAGAUGGCAGCAGUAAGUCUGAAUGCAAAACUGUGUCCUGGGUGAGCAGGUUGAGAAACAGAGGUCUCCAAGUCCAGAAAACAAAUUUAUAUUCUAUCCCUGGAGUUAGACUGUGGUGAACAGAUAAAGCACUUUCAGAUAGGCUGACAAGAAAUUUUAAACUUCAAAAUAAAAACAUAGCCAAGAGUCACCAGAUAUUUGGAAAACCCAACACAUGAAACAGUAACAUCAAAAACAACAAACCAAAGAACUUACACCUGAGGAAACAGAGAGCAAAUAGAACCAGACUAUGGAAUAAGUAUCAUUAUAUACCUUGGACAAAUGGCAGAGCCUACUGUAUUCAUAUUUUAAAAAAAUAAAAAAUGCAUCGAGGUUUUAGAAAUUAAAAAAAUUAUUCUUGAAAUAAAAAUCUCAAUAGAUGGGUUGAAUAGCAAAAUGGAUUGAAGAGUAUAUCAGUGAAUCAGAAUAUCAUGCUAAGUAAUUCUCCCGGAAUGCAGUGCAAAACAAUAAAUAGAUGGGUAGAAUGAACAAAAUGUUAUGAGACAUGAAUGACAGAUGUAAAAGUUCCACUAUCUGCUUAAUGUGAAUUAGAGGAGAGAAGAAAAUUAAGGAAGGAGAGUGCCUAAAACAAGGCAAAAAUUUAAGACAAUUUCUUAGAAAUUGGAAAUACUCACAUUGAGAGGAACCAGUGAAUAUUUACAGGAAGAAUGUAAAAACACUGAAAUGUAAGUAAAUCAUGAUGAAAUUUCAGGACAUUAAGGAUAAGGAGGAAACUCUGAAUGUUUUCAGAGUGAAAAAAAAUUAGGCAGGAUGGAAUAAGAAGAUUGAUACCAGACUUUACAUUUGCAACAUAGUAAGUGAGAAAACAGAAUAACAUGUUUAAAGUUUUCUGGUGAAAAUACUUGUGAACUUAUGAUUCUUGUUAAAGUGAACUAAAUAUGGCCUGAGAAGGACUCCAUACUUGUGGACUAACCAUAACCUAACUUAAUAGACAAGAUUGAAAACCUAGCUUAGGAGUAUGCAUCUGUAACAGUAGCUGAGUCGUGGCCAAUCCCAGCAGCCAUACUCCAAUCACUCAUACGCUGCUCCGUGUUCCAACUGUGUUCAGAUAAGUCAAAGCCAACCUGUAACCAAUCUAGCUGUUUCUUUUUCUUUCUUUUUUUUUGAGACGGAGUCUCGCUCUGUCCCCCAGGCUGGAGUGCCACGGCGCGAUCUCGGCUUACUGCAAGCUCCGCCUCCCGGGUUCACGCCAUUCUCCUGCCUCAGGCUCCCAGGUAGCUGGGACUACAGGCGCCCACCACCACGCCCAGCUAAUUUUUUCUAUUUUUUAGUAGAGACGGGGUUUCACCGUGUUAGCCAGGAUGGUCUCGAUCUCCUGACCUCGUGAUCCGCCCGCCUCGGCCUCCCAAAGUGCUGGGAUUACAGGCGUGAGCCACCGCGCCCGGCCUGUUUCUUUACUUCACUUCCAAUUUCUGUGUGUCACUUUCCUUUUUUUGUCUAUAAAUUUGUUCUGAUCAUGAGGCAUCCCUGAAGUCUCUCUGAAUCUACUGCAGUUCUGGAGGCUCCCCGACUUGUGAAUUGUUUUUUCUUCUUGCUCAAUUAAACUCCAUUAAGUUUAAUUUGAAGUGUUCUUUUAACAUUCUUUAACCAGCCAAACUGCAAGUGAAUGUGAGGACAUCAUAAAGACAUUUUAAGACACACAAACAGAUUCAAAAAGUUUAUAAUUCACUGUCCACAUAGAGUAACCUUUCUCAACAGGGUACCACUGGCAUUUGGGGUGGAACAAUUCUUUAUUGUGUAAGACUGAUCCACACAUUGCAGGUUACUUAGUGUCCUUGACCAUCAUCCAUUAAAUGCCAGUAGCAUUUCUCCUCCCCGUGACAAUACACAGCAGCCCCACAUUUGGAGGGGGUGCUGUAUCACCUCUGGUUGAGAAACCAUGGUGUAGAAAAUAUAUUCAAAGAGAAAAUAAAUCUAGGAAAAAAAAAGGGAUAUAAGAAGCACAGGUGAGCAAGAAAAUCAGUAAAGUUUACUUUUAAGUCUAAAUAAAUUAUAACAAUAAACCUAUAAUAAUAAACUAAAAUCUGAGAUAACUCAGGAUGGAGAGUUAUGAAGUCUGGAAAGGAGGUAAGAGAGAGAAGUAAAAGCAUGCUAGGAGCUUCAUUUUAUUUAUACAAUUAGCUCUGGAUGUCAAUUAAUAAUAUGUGCAACUAUGUAUACAAAAAUACAAAGAUACAGAAACUAAACAUAUACUUUUCAAGUCAUUAGAAGAAAAGUUAGUUGGGAACAAGUAAAAUGCUAGCAGCUAACCAAAGAUCAGGGAUGAAAAAGAAACACAAAAACAGCAUAUAAAAUAGAAAGCACAAGGUAAAUUGGUAGAAAAUGUGCAAAUAUAUCAGUAACCAUAAGAAAUAUGACUAUAUCAAAUUCGCUGCUAAAAGACAGUGACUUUCGAAUUGGGUUUAAAAAGAGUCAAACCGUGUGUUUUUGUAUAAGAGACAGUAAAACACAGUAAUAUAGAAAGGUUGAAAAUAAAGAGUUGGAAAAGGUAACUGGGAAAAUGCCAGGAAAAGGAAAGCAAGUGGUACAAGCAAUCUUAUCAUUUGACAGAACGGAUUUUAAGAAAAAAUAAUCAUUGUUACUCAAAAAGACAAAAAAUAAUAUUUCAUAGUGAUAAAAUACUCAAUCUACUAAUCAGUUUAGCCUUAUGCUUGUGUGUGCCUAGUAACAUAGGAUUGAAAUUUGUAAUACAAAAACAGAAUUAUAAGGAGAAAACAAAUCCAUGACUUCGUGGGAAACAUUACCUUUAGAAAUCUAUAGAACAAGUAGUCAAAAAUCAAGUAAGAAACAAAGAUCUAGUACCAUGAUCCACAAGGUUUUAUUAUUAAUAUUAUUACUAUUUAUUUAUUUAUUACUAUUUUAUUUACUAUUUUAUUUAUUUACUAUUUAUUUUAUUUAUUUAUUUAUUAUUUAUUUUAUUUAUUUAUUUACUAUUUAUUUAUUACUAUUGUUCUAUCACCCAAGCUGGAGUGCAGUGGUGCCAUCUCAGCUCACUGCAGCCUCAACUUCCCAGGCUCCAGCAGUCCUCUCAUCUCAGCCUCCCAAGUAGCUGGGACCACAAGUGCACACCACCAUGCCUGGCUAAUUUUUGUAUUUUUGGUAGAAAUGGGGUUUCACCAUGUUGCCUAGGCUGGUCUCAAACUCCUGAACUCAAGCGAUUUACCCACCUCGGCCUCCCAAAGAGCUGAAAUCACAGACAUGAGCCACUGCACCCAGCCCACCAAGUUUAAUCAAAUAAAUUUAUAUAGAGAUAAAUGUUUGCCUUUUUCAAACACACAUGAUAACUUUAUAAAAAUCGUCCUGACUUGAAAUAAUAGCUUUUUUUCCUUUUAACCUUUUAUUUCUUCUUUUCUGUCCAAUGAUGCUGCCUGCUUCUCCUCUUCCCAGGUAACAUUGCUAGCAGAGUGACUGUAUCCAUCUAUAUCUUUCUUCAUGCUCAUAAAAUCAUAUCUAAAUAUAUACAUAUAUAUGUAGAUUUCUCUUCCUAUAGCUUACAAAAAUAGAACCACAGUUUAUAAAUUUCUCUGCAUCUUUCAGAAAUGGAAGAUGGAAGUGCUCUCCAGUCAGUAGACAGAGGUUUCAGUUAUUCUUGUUAAAUGGCUGCAUUAUGUCAUGAUAUAAAUGUACUGCAAUUUACUCAAUAAUUCUACUGUCUAUGGGCAUUCACAUUGUUUUCAGGUUUUUUCCUCCCAUUGCAAUCAUGAUCACUGUUGAUGUGAACAUCCAUAGACACAUAUAUUCUGGUGUUUUUAUUUCUAUGGGAAGAAUUCCCAUGCGUGGGAUUGCCGGGUGAAAGAAUGUGUGGAGUUGUUUUCUUUUGAUAUACGUUGCCAGAUUGCUCUCCAACAAGGUCACAGCUGCUGGCGAUGUGGUGAAGAGUGUCCCUUUCCAGCCUGUAGUAGGUGUUAUCAUGUUCCCAAUUUGCUAGUCUGAUGUGAGUAAAGUGAUAACUCAUUGUUGUGUAAUUUACAUUUCCUUAACUCUUAGGGAGACCGAACAUCUUUUUACAUUUAUUCAACAUUUGGACUUGUUCUUCUGGGAAUUGUCUAGGAUAGCUUUUGAUCAUUUUUAUGCUGAUACCAUUUUUAUUCUGAUACGCACAUAGGUAUUAACCCUUUAUCUGCCAUCUGAUUUGCAAAUAAAUGGAAAGAUCUCAUCAAGUACUAGGUUGAUGUAAUGUCACAUGUUUUCUUCUAAAAUGGUUUCAGUUUUUUAGAUUUAAGUCUUUAAUUCAUCUGGAGCUCAUUUCUGUCUAAAUGACAUAAAAUAAAGUCCCAAUUUUAUUUCUUUUGUCUCUGCAAUGUCCAAUACAGUAGCCAUAGCCACUUGCGGCUAUUGAGCACUUGAAAUAUUACUCUUCAGAACUGGAAUGGGCUGUAAGUCUAAAAUAUACACUGAUUUCCAAGACUCAGUAUGGAAAACAAAGACUGUAAAAUGUCUAAUUUAUAACUUUUAUAUUGAUCAUAUGUUGAAAUGUGAAUGUUUUGGAUGCAUUAGAAUAAAUAAAAUAUUUAUGUAAAUUAACUGUAUAUUUCUUUUUACUUCUUAAUGUGGCUACUAGAAAAAUUUUAGGCCAGGCAUGGUGCCUCACGCCUGUAAUCUCAGCACUUUGGGAGGCUGAGGUGGGAGGAUUGCUUGAGCCCAGGAGUUUGAGACAAGCCUGGACAACACAGUGAGAUCCAAUCUUUAAAAAAUUUUUUAAAAAAAUUAACCAGGCAUGGCGAUAUAUGCCAGUGGUCCCACCUACAUGGGAGGCUGAGGCAGGAAGAUCGCUUGAUGCUGGGAGGUUGAGGCUGCAGUGAGCCAUGUUAGAGACACAGCACUCUAGCUUGGGUGACAGAACAAGACCCUGUCUCAAAAAAAAAAAAAGACAUUUUAAUUACAUGCGUAGCUUACAUUAUAUUUCUAUUGGACAGCUCUAUUUCAGAUGAUCAGUUGCGCCAGAGCUAUUUCUUAAACAUUUUUGCUCUCUUUCACUUAUCUUUUAUCUGCCUCAUGAGGGGUAUAUCUAUUUUAUGUCUCAUAGUAGACAUCUGUCUUAUUCAUCACUUGCCAUCAUCUUUGAAUAGCCCUUUUCUGUUGGGAGAAAUUCACAAUCAUGAGUUUCACCUCUCCAGGGUAGGAGUUAGACCUCAAAUUCCCAAUCUCUCUCACAGUUAAGAUAUGCAUAUUUGACGUUUGUAGAAUGAAUUGGAAGUCAGUUACAUGAGGGAUCAAAUUCUGCAUGGAGUUUUUAUUUCCAUAGGCGCAGGUGGCACAUGCAACCAGCUUUGAUGGUGGCGGUUCCAGAAGAGGUUGCGAGGUCAAGGCCCUGCCUUUGGUGGGUGGUGACAGCAGUGGCAGUUUCUUUAUCAGGCCAGCACUGGGUAUACUUUGGGCAUUGCUUAACCUUGAAUCUGACUUUUCAGCCCUCCCGAUAAUACUGUGAGCUACUUGGCCAGGCAUGAUGGCUCACUCCUAUAAUCCCAGCAUUUUGGGAGGCUGAGGUGGGCGGAUCACUUGAGGUCAGGAGUUUGAGACCAGCCUGACCAACAUGGUGAAGCCCACAAAAAUUGGUCAGGCGUGGUGAUGUGUGCCUGUAGUCCCAGCUACUCGGGUGGCUGAAGCAGGAGAAUCGCUUGAACCUGGGAGGCAGAGGCUUGCAGUGAGCUGAAAUCACGCCACUCUCCUCCAACCCGGGCAAUAGAGUGAUACUCCUUCUCAAAAAAAAAAAAAAUACUAUGAGCUACUCAAUAUCUUUUUAAUAAAUUUGCUUUCUGCUUAAUCAUCCAAAUCAGCUUCUGUUGCUUGCAAUAUAGAAUCCUGACUGAUAUACUGGGAUUUUUUUUCCUUAAAGACAUAGAUUUUGGAUUUAUUUUUUCCUGGUAUUUCCCCUUACUAUUUCUAAAAUAUUAUCUUCCAUCUUAAUGAGUUUCCCCUUCCCCCAGCUAAUUUUCUUGUCCUUUUUCUAUUUCUCAAGAAUAUUGUUUUAGCCUGGAUUCUCUAGAAAACAGAACCUUUGGCAAGUUUGUAUGCCAACACCUCACUGGGGAGUGCAACCUCAGAGAAACCAGAUUGAGGGAAAAAUGAGGCAAGAAGGAGAAGUGCAAAGAUAAGAGGCAUUACUGAGAGGACCCGAGUUUUGUAAUUAAUGAAGCUAACUGCUUGGACUCACAGUACAUCUUCAGAUCUUCAGAGAAGUUGUAUGAACUACCCUGUCUUGGAACAUCCUCAGGAGGAGAAAGUGAGUAGAAUUUAACCACGGCUCCUUCCUGUCUCUUGUCUCAUCCCCUGUGGCUCAAAGUCUCCCCCACAGGGCAUUAACCCUCCAGCACAUUCAGGCUGUAUUACCUGGUCUCUCCAGACAGCAGCCGGGGAAGCCAGAGCCUUCCAGACCAAUCUAGCUAGUGCAGGUAGUAGCUUGUCUCUCCUUUUCUGACAGUGCCACUGUGGGGAUUCUCCAUCUAUAGUGUAGUCAAUGGCAGAGGCAUGGACCUCGUUCCAUGACCAGGGACUAGCUUGCUGUCCCCUGUAGCUCUCUUCUAUCUAGGAUUGAAGGCAAGGGGUUUAGGCCUGAGGUUGGUGAGUAUAGGGCUUAGGGAGAAGAUAUCACAGAGAGAUCUACGGCAGUGCAUACCAAGUCUGGUACAUUCCACUUUGCACCAUUCAGACCUACUUUCACCCUCUUAUAAUAUCUGGAGCACAUAUAAGAACGAUGCCUUCAUUUCGUCUCCUAGGGGAGAGAUGCAAGUCAGUCCUCCAAGGUGGUGACUUGUUGCAGCUUCUGGCAAUUUUAGAGGGUUGGCAAACCAAGUACAGUUUUUGCUGCUGUAACCUGUUCCAGGAUAGUAAUUCCAAUUCAUUGUCUUCCUCCUCUGCUACCUAUUCUGGAUUUCCCUCCCUCUUGGCUAUUAUGCAACUGAAAUGGGUUGCUUCCUGGUGGAGUGACUCAGACCUUCCUCCUCAAGGGAUCUGAGGGAUCUGAGCCCUUGCUCUUGUCUAACUGUAGUUGCUGCAAGGAAUUUAGGACUGUCCUUUGCAUGGAAGUCCUAAGAGAUGCCCAGGGAUUCCCUGGAUUCUCAUUGUGUAGCAGUUACCCCAGCUCCUCAUGUUACAGGGUGGAUUAUCUCAGCAGGUAAAACCAUUCUUUCUUUAUCUGCUAGUCAACUGGCAUGAAUGACCAAAAUGGCCCCAAAUGGCCAGCUGGUUUGAGAGGCUAAUCUUACUUCCAGUCCUUUGCUCCUGGGGAUAUCACACUGUAUAUUGGCCAUUAAUUCAGUGUAUGUACCAUAUUCUGGAGGAAAGCACCUCAUCCCCAAAAGGUGUCGUCUCCAAGCUGGUACCUUAACUAAACCUUGGAGAGGCCAUUUCUGUCAGUCUGAUUGCUUUUGGGUGAUGAUGUAUAGCCUUGCUACUUAAAGUUUGUGUGUGUGUGUGUGUGUGUGUGCGUGUGUGUGUAGGGGACCAGUAGCAGCAGAAGAACCUGGGAGCAUUUUAGAAGUGCAAAUUCUCAGCCAGCUGUGGUGGCUUACACCUGUAAUCCCAGCACUUUGCAGGCCAAGGCAGGAAGAUCGCUUGAGCUCAGAGUUCAAGACCAGCCUGCACAACAUAGUGAGGCCCUGCCUCUACAAAGACAAAAAAAUUAGCCAGGCUCAGUGGUGUGCAUCUGCAGUGAGCUGAGCUAUUAUUCCAACAGUGCAGUCUAUCCUGGGUGACAGAGCAAGACCCUGUCUUAAAAAAAAUUGCAAAUUCUCAGGCUCCCCUCCAGACCUACUGAAGCAGAAUCUGCAUUUUAACAAGAUUCCUAGGUGAUCUGUAGGCACAUUAAAGUUUGGUACCUGGUUUACAUGGUAAGACCUAUGUGAUGUUCACUGAAGCAGGGCAAUGGUUGAUGUCAGAGGAGGAAGCGUGGGGUACAGGGUUGCUAUGGAUCUGUAGCAAUACAUAAACUGAGUCAUAUACAAGUAUUAAGUUCAUUUAUUGACAAAGUUACUUAAGCCUAUACAACUUCCAUUGACUGCAGCUUUUUCUGUCUUCCAUUAGCUUUUGAAUGACGAGGUCUCCUUUCCAUUGUUUUCCAGAUAAUUUGUAAUUUUAUUUUUUAUUUCCUUUGAUCCAACGGUUACCUAACACUGUAUUUCUUACACUUAAUUUCCAAAUCAGUAGCAUAUUUUGGUAAUAUUUUAAAUUAUUUACUUCUCUUUUUAUUGGAUGAUGAAUGGAAAAGAUAGCCUAUAAAAUACCUAAUUUAUUUAAUUUUUCAAGAUUUUCCUUAUGACCCAAUAGGAAAUAAAUUUUGGUAAAUACUCCAUGUAUGCAUAAAAAUCUAUAUUCAGUAGUUGAAGAAAUACUUAUUUGAGUUUGCUGAUUCUAUUUUUAAUCCUUCUACGCAUCCAUUUUUCCUAUUAGAGCUACUGACUUUGAAAUAGACAUGUUGAAGUCUCCCAUCGAAAUUGUAUUUUUAUGAGGCUCUCUUUAUAUUUCUAAUACUUUUUUGCUUUCUAUAUUUAUUUGCUAUGUCGUUUGGUGCAUAAAGUUUUAUGCUCAUUAAAUCCUCUUCUUAAAUUUUGUAGUAAUAAUAUCCCUCUUUAUCCAGUUUGGAAUUUUAUUCCUAAAAUCCAACCCAUGUGAUGUGGAUAUUGCUACUCAAACUUUUUGUUUGUUUCCAGAUCAAAACUAAUUUUUGGAUCCUGAACACACUGAGCAAGAAUAUCCGUUGUGGCCCUGAGACCAGCUGCACUGGCUGGGUUGGUAGUGUCUCCCUCUAACCCUCCUUUUAAGUUUCUCCCAGGAAAGAUGCCCACGGGAAUCCUGGAGUUGUAGCUCCUGGCACCUAAGUGAAAAAGUGGCUCUGUGUGGCAAACGGGCAGACUGUAGUGGACACUUGGUGUACUGCCCAGAUUCCCCCUCAAGAGUGAAGGACUUAUUUCUAUAGCUGCUGGCAGUGUUGCCAGCAAAUAGCCAUCAGAUAUCAGCUCUUUUCUGGAAGUGCCUGGGUUGAAGAGUCCAGGCUUACCCAAGGUCACGCCCUCUCCCAAGACAGUUCAUGCCUUAUUACUGGUGGACAUGAAGGCACAAAGCCCCAGCUCCCCUCACUCCAACUUGGGACAACCCUGAAGUGCCAUUACAGCUUCAAAGCUCCUCAAGGAGAUGGCUGUUGCUUUUAUUGAAUCUGUAUCACAGUCCACUUCCUCACUUUGCCUGAUCCUUCUUCCUUCCCUUUCCAAGAUGUUGAUCCCAAGAGCUCGCCUUAAUAAAUUUCCUGCAUGCACAUCUCUGAGUCUUCCUUCUACGGAGGCCAGUUUAUGACAAUUGGAGGUUGUCCUUAUUCUUAGGGGAUGUAUACUUAAGAGUGAAGAGUCAUAACAUGGGUAAUUUAUUUUCAAAUUAUUCUGGAAAAAUGUGUAUGCAUAUAUGUAUAAAAAGGAGACAGAGAUAAAGCAAGUGUGGUAACAUCUUAACAACUGGUGAAUCUGGAUGAUUCAUAUACGGAUGUUUAUUGUAGCAUUCUUCUGCCUUUUCUGAGGAUUUGACAUUUACAAAAUAUCAAGGUGAAAACAAAAUCCCUUUCCUCUAUUUUUAAUAGGUGUUUCAGUGGGAACAAAAUUAGGCUUGUAUAUUCAAUCUGUAUCUUUACCUGGGACCUCUUCAUUAUUUUUAAACCUUUGUUUUGUUUUUCUAAUACAAUUAUUUAAAUCUGUACAGGCAUACCUGGUUUUAUUGCACUUUCCAGCUAUUGUGUUUUUAUAAAUUGAAGAAUUGUGGCAACACUGCAUAGAGCAACUCCACCAUUUUUUUCUAACACCAUGUCCUCACUUCAUGUCUCUAUGUCACAUUUUGGUAAUUCUCACAAUAUUUCAAACUUUUUCACGAUGAUUGUAUCUGUUACGGUGAUUUGUGAUCAGUAAUCUCUGGUGUUACUAUUUUAAUUGUUUUGGGGUACGAAUGUGCCCAUAUGACAGUGAACUUGAUCCAUAAAUAUUAUAUGUGUUCUGAAUGCUCCACUUACCAGCUGUUCCCUUAUCUCUAUACUUCUCUCCUUGGGCCUCCCUAUUCCCUGAGACACAGAAUAUUGAAAUUAGGCCAAUUAAUGACCCUACAAUGGCUUCUGUGUGUUCAAGUGAAAGGAAGUGUUGCACAUAUCUCAUUUUAAAUCAAAGGCUAGAAAUGAUCCCCACAAGCACAAGUAACUAAAGCAAAAAUGGACAAAUGGGUCACAUUAAGUUAAAAAGCUUCUGCCCAGUGAAAGAAACAACAACAUGAAAAGACAACCCACAGAAUGGAUGAAAAUACUUGCAAACUAUCCACAUGACAAGGGAUCAAUAACCAAAAUAUAUAAGGAGCUCAAAUAACUCUAUAGGAACAAAAUCUAAUAAUCUAAUUUAAAAAUGGGCAAAAGAUCUGAUGAAUAGACAUUUUUCAAAAGAGGACAUACAAAUGAGAAGCAGGUGUAUGAAAAGGUGCUCAACAUCACUGAUCAUCAGAUAAAUGCAAGUCAAAACUAUAAUGAAGCAUCAUCUCACCCCAGUUAAAAUGGUAUUUAUCCAAAAGACAGACAAUAACAAGUGCUGGUGAGGAUGUGGAAAAAGGAGAACCCUCAUACACUGUUGGUGGGAACGUAAAUUAGAACAAUUCAGAGGUUCCUAAAAAAACUAAAAAUAGAGCUACCAUAUGAUCCAGCAAUCCCACUGCCAGGUAUAUACACAAAAAAAUGGAAAUCAGUAUAUUGAAGACAUAUCUGCAUUCCCAUGUUUAUUGAAGCACUAUUCACAAUAGCCAAGAUUUAGAAACAACCUAGUGUCCAUCAACGAUGAAUUGAUAAAGAAAACGUGGUUGAUUUAUACAAUGGAGUACUAUUCAGUCAUAAGAAUGAACGAGAUCCUGUCAUUUGCAAUGACGUAGAUGGAACUGGCAGUCAGUGCAUUAAGUGAAAUAGGCCAGGAACAGAAAGACAAACUUGGCAUCUUCUCACUUAUUUGUGGGAGCUAAAAAUUAAAAGAAUUGAACUCAUGGAGAUAGAGAGUCAAAGGAUGGUUACCAGAGGCUGGGAAGGGUAAUUGGGAGAGGGGUAGGGGAGUGAGGAUGGUUAAUGGGUCCAAAAAAAUAGAAAGAAUGAGUAACACCUGAUAUUUGACAGCAUAACAGGGUGAUGACAGUCAAUAAUAAUUUAAUUGUACAUUUAAAAGCAACAAAGAGUACAAUUGGAUUGUUUGUAACACAAAGGAAAAAUGCUUGAGGUGAUGGAUACCUGGUUUAUCCUGAUGUGAUUAUUACACAUUGUAUGCUAGUAUCAAAAUAUCUUAUGCAGCCCAUAAAUAUACAUAACUACUAUGUCUCCACAAAAAUUAAAAGUUAAAAUUAAAAAAAGAGAAAUGAUUAAGCUUAGUGAGGGAGGCAUGUUGAAAGCCAAGAAAGGUCAAAAGCUAGGCAUCUUGCACCAAACAGCCAAGUGGUGAAUGCAAAGAAAAACUUCUUGAAGGAAAUUAAAAGUGCUAAUUCAGAACACAUGAAUGAUAAGAAAACAAAAGAGCCUUAUUGCUGAUACAGAGAAAGUUUGAGUGGUCUGGAUAGAAGAUCAAACCAGCUGCAACAUUCCCAUAAACCGAAACCGAAUCCAGAGCAAGCCCCUAACUCUCUUCAAUUCUAUGAAGACAGAGAGGUGAAGAAGCUGCAGAAGAAAAGUUUGAAGUUAUCAGAGGUUGGUUUAUGAGGGUUAAGGAAAGAAGCCAUCUCUAUAGCAUAAAAAUGCAAAGUGAAGCAGCAAGUGCUGAUGGAGAAGCUGCAGCAAGUUCUCCAGAAGAUCUAGCUAAGAUCACUGAUGAAGGUGGCUACACUAAAAAACAGAUCUUCAAUGUAGACAAAACAGCCUUCUAUUGGGAGAUGAUGCCAUUAAGGACUUUCGCAGAUAGAGAGAAGUCAAUGCUUGGCUUCAAAGCUUCAAAUGAUAGGCUGACUCUCUUGUUAGUAGCUAAGGUAGUUGGUGACUUUAAGUUGAAGCCAAUGCAUAUUUCCCAUUUCUCAAGUCUUAGAGCCCUUUAGAAUUAUGUUACAUCUCUUUGGCCUGUGCUCCAUAAAUGUAACAACAAAGCCUGGAUGACAGCACAUCUGCUUAUAGCAAGGUUUACUGAUUAUUUUAAGCCCACUGUUGAGAACUGUGCUCAGAAUAAAAAAGAUUCCUUUCAAAAUAUUACUGCUCAUCGACAAAACACCAGGUCACUCAGAAACUCUGAUGAAGAUGUACAAGGAGACAAAUGUUGUUCCUAUCCCUGCUAACACAGUAUCCAUUCUGUAGCCCAUGGAUCAAAGAGUAACUUUGACUUUCAAGUCUUAUUAUUUAAGAAAUACAUUUUGUAAGGCUAUAGCUGCCAUAAAUAGUAAUUCCUCUGAUAGGUCUGGGAAAAAUACAUUGAAAACCUCCUAGAAAGAACUUACUAUUCUAGAUUACAUCAAGAAUGCUUGUGAUUCAGGAGAAGAGGUCAAAAUAUCAACAUUAAUAAUAAUUUAGAAGAAGUUGAUUCCAACUUUUAUGGAUAACUUUGAGAGACUCAAGGCUUCGGUGGAGGAAGUAACUGCAGAUGUGAUAGAAAUAGCAAGACAACUAGAAUUAGAAGUGGAGCCUGAAGGUGUGCCUGAACUGCUGCAAUCUCAUGAGAAGACUUUAAUGAGUGUGGAGUUACUUUUUAUGAAUGCUCAAAGAGAGCAAUUUAUUGAGAUGGCAACUACUUCUGGGGAAGAGUCUAUCAACAUCGUUAAAAUGACGACAAAGGAUUUAGAAUAUUACAUAAAUUUAGUUGAUAAAGCAACUGCAGGGUUUGAGAGGAUUGACUCCAAUUUUGAACGUUCUACUGUGGGAUAAAUGCUAUCAAACAGCAUCACAUGCUACAAAGAAAGCUUUCAUGAAAGGAAGAGUUGAUUGAUGCAGCCAACUUCAUUGUUGUUUUAUUUUAAGAAAUUGCCACAGUCACCCCGAACUUCAGCAAACUACCACUCACAUCAGUCAGUAGCCAUCAACACUGAGGUAAGACCCUCCCACCAGCAAAAAGAUUACGACUCACUGAAAGCUCAGAUGAUCAUCAAUAUUUUUUAGCAAUAAAGUAUUUUAAAAUUAAGGUAUGUACAUUUAUAGACAUAAUGCUAUUGCCCACUUAAUUGAUGACAGUAUAGAGGAAACAUAACUUUUAUAUGCACUGGGAAACCAAAAAAUUCAUAUGACUCACUUAAUUGCAAUAUUAGCUUUAUUGUAGUGGUCUGAUACUGAAGUUGCAUUAUCUCUGAGAUAUGCCUGUAUAUCUUCCUUUGAAUGCUUCUUCGGUCAUAGUUCACAGAUUUUUUAUUUUUUGUGCCCUCAUUGUUAUUCAUUAGAAAUAAUUUAUAAUUUCUACUUUAAUUUUUCUUUUGAACCCAAUAGAUAGUUAAAAGAGUAGGUUUUGAAUAUUCAUGUCUAUAGGGGUUUUGUUGGUAAUGAGGUUUUUGUUUGUUUGGCUAUUCUUUGGCGAUUUCUAGUUUUAUUGCAUUGUGGUCUGUGAACACAUUUCUGCCAUUUAGAAUAUAGUGGAAUUUCCUCUGAGAAUUCUGCGGGGAUGGUUGUUGAAUACAUCUGUGCUGCCUUCAUCCUUCAAUUUAAAACCAGCUACUGAACCUUUUGUGAGCCAAGCAGCUUCUGGGGUUUAGAGAUCUAGUGCAUCUCUGGGGUCCAGAAGAAGGGAGUUGGCAGAGCAAGUUUCUGCUUCUGAGCCCCACGACAGCCCGGGGACUGGAGGUGCAGAGCCCAGGAGUAAUGGUCAGAAGAAAAGUGAAAUCGGGAACACUUGACCUACGGAAAUCCAAGGACCUCCCAAGGGAGAGGCUGCAGCUGCCCCCGUGAGCACUCUAUGGUCUCAUUGUUCCAGCUCAUACAAAGCUGUGGGGGAGAACAAAAGUGCUAAAUCCUCUCCUCAACUGGGAAAAUGCCAGUCUUUGCAGCUGAAGAGACUAGCGGGCAGAGGGAGACCUUUUGGGACCAACCACUUGCCAGCGGACCCAGCAAGUCAAAGACUGUUGCAACAUCCAUUACUCGAGAGACUGGCCUUGCUCUAGAUCCCCAGCAGCUGAACAUGGGCCCCAGUGGGUCAGCAAAGGAAAAUACCAACCCAUCCUGGGGGACCCAGAAGUGAGAAAGUGAAAGAACCAGCAUAUUGCAGAGAACAACAGCUACAAACCUUCUGGGGGAGAGAGAGGACAGCCUGAACCAAAAACAAUGAUAACAACAACACGUAAGGAACCACAAAUACAGUGUGCAUAAACGCACGCAUACACACACGCAUGCACACACGCGCACACACAUGCAUGCACACAUACACACAUGCAUGCACACGCACACACGCAUGCACACACACACAUGCACACACACACACAUGCACACACACACAUGUUCUGGAUCUAAAGAAUCUCAUUUUCAGACUAAAAAUUUCAAGAGAUGAAUCAAAGGAUUGCAGAGUCACUGUUGAAACCUGACCUAGAAUGCCAAAUGGAGUAAUGAAACAAAACACAAAUCAAAAAUGCAAAGAGAGGAAAAUUAUGAGGUGAAAUAAACAGUUUGAGGAAAUGAUGCAGGCAAUCAAAUACUUGCAUAUUUGGAUUAUUCUAUGUUGGAAUUAUUAUUAUUAGGAUAAUAGAAAUUUGUAAAAUAAAGCAGAUGGAAGACAGGCAAUAAUUAAACAAAUAAUAGAGGAAAUUGUCCUUGAAAAUUUUCCAAUAAAGACUUGAUCUGAGAUUUGAAGGACCCACUGAAUUCCAAACAGAACUUACACAAAAUAAUACUCAUCUUUAGCCAUGUCCUGAAAACAAUGACUGAAAUCUCAAGUGUUAAUAUAAAAGCUUACUCAUUUCUAGAGAGGGAAAAUAAGUAACUUACAAAGAAACAAUGAGAUGUCAUUUGACUUCUCAUCUGCAUCCGUGGAAGCAAACUAUGCUGUAAGUAUAUCUACAGAUUUCUGAGAGAAGAGGAAUCCUAAAAGAAAGACUAAUAGUAAUGUCAGACUGUAAGUCCUGAAGGAUCUCAGCCUAGUAUUUAGGGAAGGGGUGGAAGAAGAUGGAAGGUAAAAGUGUUUCAAUAUCUUUGCGGGCUGAGGAUAUAGAAAAAUACUACAAAUAGGUCUCUUUAAUGUGGGGAAAUAGAUGCUUUUCUCACAUAAUGGAGGAUUAUAUAAUUGCAAUUGUGUAUUUUAUUCUGAAUGUGAAAAAAAUACAGAUAACCACUCAUGGCAUGGAAAAGUAUAGCGCUUCUCUAAGAAACCUAUAAGAAUCUAUAAGAAAAUCUAAAAGAAAAAAAUCUACAAGAAAAAAAAAAUCUAAUAAAUGGCCAUGUUACCAAGCCAUCAAAAACAAGAAAAAGAGAGAAAGGACAAAGUAAAAUAAAUAGUGAACCUGAGUUAAAAUGGAAGAAAUGAAAUAAAUUAUAUCCAGGUUUACACAAACCUCAAAUGAGCCGAAUUCUCCCAUUAAAACUCAAAGUUCAUUAAAUAGGAUUGAAGAACAAAAACCAGCCAUAUGCUGUUGUUAGAAAUACUAUAUCAGUCAGAAUUGGUGUAACAGAAACCCAACUUACAGUGGUUUAAAUAUGUAAGAAAUUUAAUUUUCCUUGCAGCAGAGAGCUGCCGAUAUAGGCAGCUGCUCAGAAAACCUCUACCCUUUUCCAGCUUCCCUCACCCUCAGCACCUCUGCUGGGCUUGGUAGCUUACCUGAUGGUGUGACCCCAACCUUCAUUCCUAAGCGAUCUGAGCCCUUCUUGGUCACCAUGCCUCUCAUGUAUGAGGCCAUGAUGGAUGUACGUGUCCAUUUACCAUCAAAACUGGGCACCUGAUCCAUAUACCAAGCUCAGGCUCCUUCCUCCUCUGUUGGCUGGUCAUAAAGGACCCUUCUCUCCACCCCAUGCAGCCAUCAGUAUGAGCUGAGAGCAAGACAACAGGUGGAUGAGAUGGGGGUCUGGUUACCUGCUCACGCAGCUCGCUUAUGCCAUCUGGUCCUCCUUCUGCUCAAUCCUCCAUGUCCCACUUCUAUUCUGGCAUGCUGCUGGGCCCACCUGAUCUUAUGACUUGGUUGAUCUGACAAAUAUCUGACUCAUUGUGGAUAGUUUUGGCUGCACAAUCGUUUGCUUUCCCGUGAUCGGGUGUUCCCUCCCUCCGGGGCCAAGUAGCCCUCAGGAGCUUGUGAUGGUUAAUUUUAGGUGUCAACCGGACUGGGUUAAGGAAUAGCUAGAGAACUUGUAAAGCAUCACUUCUGGGUGUGUCCGUGAGGGUGUUUCCAGAGGACAGUGGCCUGGGACUUUGUGGACUGAGAGGAGGAGAUCUGCCCUCAUUAUGGGCAGGCACCAUCCAAUCAGCUGGCACCCGCAUAGAACAAAAAAGGCAGAAACAAAACAAAACAAAACAAUUUUCUCUCUCUCUCUCUCUCUCCCUCCCUCUCUUCUUCUCUCUCCUGGAGCUGGAACACACUUUUUUCUCCUGCCUUUGGACAUCGGAACUCCAGGCUCUCCAGGCUUUCCAGACUCUGGACUUAACAGCAGUCUCUGGACUUACAACAGCAGCCCCCUGGAUCCUCAAGCCUUUGGCCUCAGACUAAUAAUUAUAUCAGCAACUUCCUGGUUCUGAGGCUUUUGGGCAGCCAUGCUACUAGCAACCCAGCAGUUCCAGCAGAAGGCCUGUUGUGGGACUUCUCAGCCUCCAUGAGCAUGCCCAGUUAGAAAAGAACUCUAAAAGGGUAAGCUUGCUUAAAAGAACUCCAGAUGGCCCGGGAGCUGCAGGACCCUUUGCCAAUUAUCAGAGGAAGAUAAGGCCUGUGUGAAACCGGGACAAACCUGAACCAGCGACCCCGUGUUACCUUUAGAUCAUUAACAUAUCAUCAUAAUGCUAAAACCUCACCCAUAGAAGAUAAUUGCUGCCAUUUUCUGAAUAUACAUUAUAUGAAGAAGCAUGUUCAUGAUCUGCACCUGCACAUCUGGAGUUCCUCCCCAUACAUGUUUACGUACCUCCCUGCCCCACAUCUAACUCCUUAAAAUCCCCCAGCUUCUCAUAUCUCAGGGAGAAGGAGUCUUUAGAGAAAGAGCUCCCUCCUCCAUUCCUGGCCAGGAAUAAAACCUGCUUGCCUUUUUUCCCAAUUAGGUGUUACAGUAGAACUCAGUUACCCUGUAACAAUAAGAAUUGCAUUAAAUCCUUAUAUCAACUUGGGAAGAAUUGACAGCUUUACCAUAUUAAGUCUUCUAAUCCAUAAAUAAGUAUGUUCAUCCAUUUUUUUAGAUUUUUGAAAUUUCUUUCAUCAGCAUUUUGUAGUUCUUUGCCUCACUAUCUAGAUCCCAAAUAUUUUCUGUUUUUUUUUUCUGAAAGUUUUAUCUCUUACAAUUUAAACCUGAGUAGUUCUCAGCAUGCAAGCCCCAUACAUGUUUUGUUGGAUUUAAAUUUAAGUACUUUGGUUUUUGAUAAAUUGUAAGUGCUACUGUAUUUUAAGUUUCAGUGCCCAUGUGUUCCUUGCUGGUAUAAAGAAAUACAACAUAUUCCUGCAGUCUAGCUGAAGUCACUUAUCAGCUCUAGGAGUUUCUGUUUUUUGUUUUAUUUUUGGUAGAUCUUUGAGAUUUCCUACUUUGAUAAGCAUGUUAUCCACGAAUAGGGACAGUUUUAUUACUACCUUUCUGAUCUGUAUGCCUUUUAUUUCCUUUUCUUACCUUAUUGCAUUGGGUAGAACUUCUAACACUGUUUAACAAUAAUGGUAAGAGCAGUCAUCCUUGCCCUUUUCCUCUUCUCAGGGGUACAACCAUUCAGUCUUUCACUGUUAAGUAUGAUGCUGGCUGUGGAGUUGUUAUAGAUGCUCUUUAACAAGUUAGGACAAAUUCCCUCUAUUUCUCUUUUUCUGAGCAUUUUUAAAACCAUGAAUGGGUAUUUUGUGAAAUGCUUUUUCUGUAUUGAUUGGUAAGAUCAAUUUUCUUUUGUAUCCAGUUAGUAUGUUGGAUUAUGUUGACUGAUUUGUGAAUAGUAAAACUGCCCUGCAUUCCUGCAGUAAGCUUCGCUGUGUUACAAGAUCUUUGGGGUGUUGCUUUUCUGGCCAGAAACCUCUGUGGCCAGUGGUGCCUUUGCCCAAGUUUUGUUUGGGCUCACUGGGCUCAUUCCGCCCACUCGGCCUGGCAGGCUGUGCUCAGCUCAUGCUACCAGCCUGGACCCCAUGUCUGCCAAAGGCAAGUCAGGCAUGGAGUGGCAAGGGGUGUGUGAGUGAGCGUGGGGUCUGGCCACUGUGCAGUCAGACAUGUCAGCUGCUGCAGUGGGGUGGGCAGCUCCAGGUGCUGGCACAGGCACUAGUCCUCUGUGAGGCUGUGGCUGAGCCAGGCACACUGCACGCAGCUUCCACAGCUGGUACUGGGGAACAAAGUGGUGCCUGGAGGCUUGGAGAUGCCAGGAACCACAGGGCUCCCAAGAAAGAGUCAUAGCCCUGGCUUGGGGAGCUCCCAGGUCUGGGCUUCCCGAAGGGCCAUAGCUAUUCUUUCUUUCUCUUCACCCUCAAUGUAGUGAGCAAGGGGCAUGUUUCAACCCUGUUUGUGUUACAGCUCUUUUAGCCCUACCAUUCAAUGGGUCCCAAGUUCUUGUCCUAUAACCAGGAAGAAUGAGGUACCCAGACAAGUGGAGGGUGAGCAAGAUGAAAAGGAGCUUUACUGAGCGACAGAACAGUUUGGAGGAAACCCGCAGUGGGUAGCUCCUUUCCACAGCCAGGGUGUCCUGAUGAGUGUUCAGCUCCUAGCAAAGAGGAGGCCCUGGAGUGGGAAGCUCCUCUUUGCAUGCAGGUGGUCACAUUGUCUCUGCAGCUCUCAGCAGAGAGGAGGCCCUGGAGUGGGUAGCUCCUCUCUGCUGUUGGUCAUCCUAAUGUCUGCUCAGCUCUGGUUGAGCGCAGGGGUAUUAUGGGCUUCAGAGGGGGGAAAGUGUAUGCCAACUGGUCCAUGGGCAGGCCCAGAAAAGGCACCACAAGCUCCCACUCUGGUCUGUGGGGCUGGCAGCCCGACGCCAGCCUUCAGGCCCUCCCUGGCCUGAAGGUGGGGCCUCACUGGGGACCUGCCCCCUUCUGCCCAGGAGCCCAUCUGCCUCCUGCCACUGCACAUGGCACCCAGGCUGCUCACAGCAAGGGGCACCUACAGGCCAGGGCAAGCCGCCCUCAACUUCGUCAUUGUGUAUACUUUUUUUUACAUUGUUGAAUUCUACUUGCUAAUUUAAAAAAAUGUUGCAUCUAUAUUCAUGAUAUUAGUCUUUUGUUUUUUGUACUAUCUUUUUUUUUUGGUUUGAGUAUCAGAUUUAGUACUAGCUUCAUAAAAUAAAUGGGAAAGUCUACUCUCAUCUUCAAUUUUCUGGAAGAGAUUUUGUAGAAUUAGUGUUAAUUCUUUUUUAAACUUUUGGUAGAAUUGUCCAGUGAACUCUCCUGGUCUAGGAGCUGUUUUUAAAUUUUAGUUUUAAAAUUACAAAUUCAACUUUUAAAAUUCCAUUUCAUACUGGGUGAGUUGUAGUUUUUGAGGAAUUGGCCUGUUUAAUUUAAGCUGUCAAAUUUAUGUGGGUAGAGUUGUUUGUAGUAUUCCCCUACUAUCCUUCUGAUGUACACAGAGCCUGUAGUGAUAUCCCAUUUCAUCCUUGAUGUUUCAUUCCGUUUCACCCUCUUUCUUUUCUCUCCUUAUUACUGGUUGUGGGAAUGGGAAUUCCAGCUUCUCCCUAGGCCUCUACUAAGACCUCCCUGACUUGGGGGACAGUUGGGUGGGGCGGCUCAUGACUGCUCCCCAAGGGGCCUCCACUGACACAAGGGGUGGUGGCCUCAUUACCACUAGUUGGUGGUGAAAGUCCUGAUCCCCCUCUGGGUUUUCUGGUACACUGCCCCAGCAGAGCAGAGAGGGGCACCUCAUGACUGCUGGAUGGGAGUGGAAGUCCAGACUCCCCCACUGUCUUCACUGAUAUUGCAGGGAGCCCAUGGGGAGAGUUGGGGUGCCUCUUUACAGCCUGGUGUGGGUGGAAUUCUAGGAUCUCCACCUCUGCCUUUGCUUGUGUGAGUGUGGGUAGGGCCACAGUCUUUCUGUGGUGUUCGGCUGGAGUAGAGAGGUUAUUGUCUCAAGGUUUUCUGUCUCGUAAGGCUGCCCAUUUUCUGCUUUCUGUUUUGUUUUUGCUUUGUAUAGAGGGAGUAGGCUUUUGAUGGGGCUUUUCCCCCCAUCUCAAACACUAGAAUUUCCAGGUCGCGAGCUUCUUCAGUUCUAAGUCUGGGAUAUAUGAGGCAAAAUGAAAGCCAGGAGAAUGCACUAUGCGGUCCCAAGUUUCCUAGCUGGUCUGCCUUCUUUUCUCAACUUUUCAGAAUAUUUUUAUACUUGCUUUACAUACAAACUAAAUCUACUGAAAAAAUACAAUAAUCAAAAUAAAUGGAUGGGCUCAAUAGCCAAUAGAGGAGACAGAGGAAAAAAAAAUCACUGCACUGACAACUAUAACUAGAGAAAUCACCCAGACUGAAAAACAGAGAGAAAAUAAAUGGAAAAAAAUGAAUGGAGCUUCAGGGACCUGUGAGACUAUCACAGGGUCCAGUGUUUGUGUCAUCGAACUUGCAGAAGGAGAAGAGAAAGAAGACAAGGCUGAAAAGGUAUUCAAAGAAAUAAUGGCUGAAAGUUUCCCAAAUGUUCAGAGUUUUUAGUUGUCCUUACUGGGAGGAAUAGGGAGAAGCGUGUCUGCUCUAUCUUCCUGAAAGCUAAAGAACCAAGCACUGCUGGAUGGGGACCCAGGGUCUCCAAGCUGAGAAGAACACUGAUAAGGCAUGCACGGAAGCAGUCCUGGGAGGACUCUGCCACAGGCACAAACACCACUGGACACCCAAAGUCAUACUGCUGGGCGCUGGAGUCCAUUGCUUCUUCUGAGAAGAAUCGCUAACUUUUCUCGGGUCUUUGUACCUUUAGCCCCUGAUUCAAAGUCUUAGGGAGGCUCACCUAAGUGGCCAGUCGCAGGGAGUGUGCCCAGCCCUGCCUGUCAGCAGGUGUGGAAAGGAAAUGUACAGCAUUCUGCAGCAUCCCUGGUGGAAGCUGGAGCCUGUCUUCCAUUAAGCCGUACUCACUGUGGGAUUCCUCAAUUUGUCCAAUUAGGAGCACUCAGCCCCAUGAAAUGAUCUUAAUGACUCCACAAGAAAUAAAUGCUGAAGAAAAAUGGACUCCAGCCUCCUAGGCCCAGGAUUUCUUGAUGUUUCUUUGGUGUUUGGGAGGACACUGUAUUUCUGCAGCUUCAGGAUGGCUUAUGUACUCUCUGGCCUGUAUUUGUUCCUAGCACCCCUGGUUUGAGUUUACCAGAAGCCAGUGUGAGAUUCAGGGGCCAAUGUGUACUAUCAGCGACAAAUAUUGGUUAUCAGGUGAGAGGUCCUGUCUAAAGUGAAGCUGUGCUUGGAGCUCAGAUACUGACUCCAUGUGAAUGCAAUGGAUCUUGUGUGUUAGGAGGACAAGACUCCUGGAAUAGAAAUUCAGUGAGACCUCACACCAGAGCUCUAGGCAGGGGUGGAAAAGCCCCAGGCAAGGAGCUGGGCUAUAAACAAUUCUUGAUCCUUCUGUUCAGAGUGUGCAAAAUUUGCAUGGUGUUACCCCAUGCAGAGACAACUUGGGUUGUGUGCCAAUGGACGUUUCAGGGCACUUCUCAAAGGAGGGAGCUAAGCUGAGGGGCUUGGCAGGGGGCAGACUCCACAAUAAAAGGCUUAUUGGAUGUCUGUGAGGGUACACUCAAGACAGGAGAGAGUCAGCAGGCCCAGCUGAGAAAAUUCAAUCUCAACCUUCUCUAAAGACAUUCUCUGAAGACACAUGCUUUAUUUUCCACUCAUUCUUUCCUGAUCUGAGCUGGCCCUACACUCAUAUUAUAUCCAUCAUUGUCUUUGGCUUCUAAGGAUGUGCUGAUUGCCCUAUAGAUUGACAUACAAAGUUCAGAACGAUAAAAAUGGAAAGGCAUUAUAGUAUUAUCUAAAUAUGCCUCCUCAAUUUAAAGAUUAAUAAAACUGGGCUAGACUAGGUCACACAGUUGGUUAGAGGCAAUGUCAAGAUUAGAAGUUGCCCCAUUCUCAGUGUGCUGUUCAUCAUUCCAAAUAAAAUCAAAAUAAGAUAUCUUUAAAGGUUUCUCACUAGAAAUGAUGAUGAAGAGAGCACCAUCAAUAAAAGAGACAGACGUGCCUGAAAGCUCCUUCCCUGCCCUGCCCUUUCCAGUUUCCUGUGGAUUCUCAAGACCAUGAAAGGUUAGAAAUAUUAGCUGCAGAGAGAAAAGAAACAUAACAUGAACAUAUUUUCCUAUCAGUGGAUUUUCCCCUACAAGAUCAUUUUUGAAGAAGCUAAUGGUUAGGAGCACGGCCUCUGGGGCCAGACUUCCUAGACUCAAAUCCUGGCUCCAUGUCUUACUAGGUAUAUGACCUUGGGCAAAUUAACCUCUGUGCUUUGGUCUACCCAUCUGUAAAACAGGGAUAACAGUAUCUACUUCAUAGGUUGUUAUGAGGAUUAAAUAACCGUUUCGUCUUAUCUAUAUCCAUCUAUCUCUACAUAGAUAUAUAUAUGUAUAUAUAUCCUAGAAUAGUGCUUGGCAUGUAGUAAACUCUGCUAUAGCAGAGUUUUCUAUUAUCGACAAAUAGCAAGAUAUUCUGCCCUUUGGAUGUGUGAUAAUUUCUUUAGCCAAUCCCUUACUAUUGUAUAUUUGAUGGCCUUCAGCUUUUUGUUGUUAUUCAAAGGAGGAUAAAUUAUCACUAAAUCCAUCGGAAAUAAAUGUCUACACUCUCCAAAUAAUCCAUGUGAGAGUUACAAUGGACAGGUAGGUGCCAUUUCCUUCCUGUUUUUUUCUGGUAGCAAAGUAGGACAGGAAAUGUAGAGUCUAGUUGGGUGGCCAUAUGCCCUGCCAGAAUUCACUGGGGAGUUCUACUAUUAAAGGAAGAAGGGAACCAUGGCUACUGCAGGGCUAUCAGCAGACCCUGCCACAGCUUUUAACAUCCAUCCUAUCCCCUAGACUACAACUCUGUGGAAGUUUGGUUAAACAAGGUAAUCACAGGACUACCCUUAUGUUGUCACACUUUAGUGGAUAAAUGUUUAAAAAAACCUGGAUCUAUUUUUAUCAUCCCUUAAAUUUCAAACUCCCUUUGUCACCUGGUUUUAGGUACAUUUUUUUACAAGCCAUACAUAGUUGGAUUUAGUUUUCUAACUCACUGUUAAACUACCUCUGUCUUUGAUGUAGGAAUUCAAUUUGUUCAUAUUAUUUGUGAUAACAUUUAUUGAUUCUUUUUCAUUUUUACUUGUUUAAAGUCUAUUGUACUUUUCUUUUCCACUUUCCUUACUUUUUCUAUCUUGGUCAGUGUUCACUUUAUCAUUUAAAAAAAUUUAGGAGAAAUUCUACUAGGAAACAAAUGGAAAAAGACAAUCAAGAAAAUCAAGGGUAGGCCUAAAUGACUACUGGUAUGGAUACUUGUAAAAAGUCAUUAAAGAGACUUGAACUACAGAAAAACAGAUAAAUGUAAAAAAAACUUAGCUGCAAUUCUUACUACAAAACAUCACCUUUGUUAAUGUUCUAAUGCAUUAAGACUUUUCUGGAAAAUCAGAUAUUCUAUUAACAGAUAUUCAUAUGGAUAUAAA
rnacentral:lncRNA from 1 species